rnacentral:rRNA from 1 species
CCUACGGGGGGCUGCAGUGGGGAAUAUUGCACAAUGGGCGCAAGCCUGAUGCAGCAACGCCGCGUGAGGGAUGACGGCCUUCGGGUUGUAAACCUCUUUUAGUAGGGAAGAAGCGAAAGUGACGGUACCUGCAGAAAAAGCACCGGCUAACUACGUGCCAGCAGCCGCGGUAAUACGUAGGGUGCGAGCGUGGUCCGGAAUUAUUGGGCGUAAAGAGCUCGUAGGCGGUCUGUCGCGUCUGCUGUGAAAACCCGAGGCUCAACCUCGGGCCUGCAGUGGGUACGGGCAGACUAGAGUGCGGUAGGGGAGAAUGGAAUUCCUGGUGUAGCGGUGGAAUGCGCAGAUAUCAGGAGGAACACCGAUGGCGAAGGCAGUUCUCUGGGCCGUAACUGACGCUGAGGAGCGAAAGCGUGGGGAGCGAACAGGAUUAGAUACCCGGGUAGUC